UCGGCGACCGGCGCACGGGUGAGUAACGCGUAUGCAACCUGCCCGAUACCGGGGUAUAGCCCAUGGAAACGUGGAUUAACACCCCAUAGUACUUUUAUCCUGCCUGGGAUGUGAGUUAAAUGUUCAAGGUAUCGGAUGGGCAUGCGUCCUAUUAGUUAGUUGGCGGGGUAACAGCCCACCAAGACGAUGAUAGGUAGGGGUUCUGAGAGGAAGGUCCCCCACAUUGGAACUGAGACACGGUCCAA
rnacentral:rRNA from 1 species